AAUGUAGAGAGAGCAGGUCAGUUAUAGAGGGGAAGGUAGUUAGCUAGCUAGCUACAUCUGUAAACGCUAGCUGGUUAGCCAGGUUAGAUAUGUAGGUAAUGUAGAGAGAGCAGGUCAGUUAUAGAGGGGAAGGUAGUUAGCUAGCUAGCUACAUCUGUAAACGCUAGCUGGUUAGCCAGGUUAGAUAUGUAGGUAAUGUAGAGAGAGCAGGUCAGUUAUAGAGGGGAAGGUAGUUAGCAGGAAUAACUCCUGGUUUGUCUAGAAAUGACUAAAUGUUUAGGUCUGGUUAGGCCACCGUGUCAGAUAGUCGACUAAACAGUUGUUGUUUGUCCCGUCGGAUUAGCAUUCAGAUCAUGGCUAACCUAACUAAACUAACUAACUAACUAACUAACUAACUAUUCCCGUUAGUUAACCUAGUAAAAACACCUUGGACAUGACAAGACACUAACUAGCUUGUUAA
rnacentral:lncRNA from 1 species